AAAGGUUCUGAAGGCCCAGAGAGCUGCCCACCUCACAAGCCCCUGGGCUCCAGAACCAGCCAGUUCUCAGUGACCAUCUGCACAUCCUGGCCACUCAGAGGCUCCCGCAGCCUCACCUUCACCUCCAGCUUCCCCCCGGUGGGCUUCCUUCCAUCCAGGACCUGUGAGGACCACAGAGAGGGAAAUGGUAACUAAGGGGACAGAGAUGGGGAGCAGGCAGGUCCCUACAUUCCCAGGAAAGAAGUGAGAGGAGCUAAGAUGUCCUGUGGCAUGAACACAGGAAUCUCCAUUCAUGACAACCCUACCCUCCCAGUAUUUGGAGGAGGUGGUGGUGGUGGUUUUAGGUGAGUCUUAUUAAAAAAGUAAUAAAUAAAUCUAGACAAGCAUCCUA
rnacentral:antisense_RNA from 1 species